UACAGAGGUCUCAAGCGUUGUUCGGAUUCAUUGGGCGUAAAGGGCGCGUAGGCGGCGGGGUAAGUCGGGUGUGAAAUCUCAGAGCUCAACUCUGAAAUGGCACUUGAUACUGCUCUGCUAGAGGACUGGAGAGGAGAUUGGAAUUCACGGUGUAGCAGUGAAAUGCGUAGAUAUCGUGAGGAAGGCCGGUGGCGAAGGCGGAUCUCUGGACAGUUCCUGACGCUGAGGCGCGAAGGCCAGGGGAGCAAACGGG
rnacentral:rRNA from 1 species